rnacentral:rRNA from 1 species
GUAAAGGUAGUGCCAAGAAAAGCGAUGAUCAUGUUGAAAAUCAAUUCCCGGUACCCGAAACCGACACAGGUGGGCAAGUAGAGAAUACUAAGGGGCGCGAGGUAACUCUCUCCAAGGAACUCGGCAAAAUGACCCCGUAACUUAGGGAGAAGGGGUGCCACCGAGAGGUGGUCGCAGUGAAGAGGCCCAGGCGACUGUUUAGCAAAAACAUAGGUCUCUGCAAACUCGAAAGAGGAGGUAUAGGGGCUGACGCCUGCCCAGUGCCGGAAGGUUAAAGAAGUUGGUCAGUUUUAGGAUGAAGCUAGCGACUGAAGCCCCGGUGAACGGCGGCCGUAACUAUAACGGUCCUAAGGUAGCGAAAUUCCUUGUCGGGUAAGUUCCGACCCGCACGAAAGGCGUAACGAUCUGGGCGCUGUCUCGGAGAGAGGCUCGGCGAAAUAGGAUUGUCUGUGAAGAUACGGACUACCUGCAUUUGGACAGAAAGACCCUAUGAAGCUUUACUAUAGCUUGGAAUUGUGUUCGGGCUUCCUGUGCGCAGGAUAGGUGGGAGGCGUAGAAGGUAUUCUUGUGGGGAUACUGGAGCCAACGGUGAGAUACCACUCUCAGGAGGCUAGAAUUCUAACUUAAUUAAGGACAGUUUCAGGUGGGUAGUUUGACUGGGGCGGUCGCCUCCAAAAAGGUAACGGAGGCGUACAAAGGUUCCCUCAGACUGGUUGGAAAUCAGUCGAAGAGUGCAAAGGCAGAAGGGAGCUUGACUGCGAGAAGUACAGUUCGAGCAGGGUGGAAACACGGUCUUAGUGAUCCGACGGUGCUGUGAGGAAGGGCCGUCGCUCAACGGAUAAAAGUUACUCUAGGAUAACAGGCUGAUCUCCCCCAAGAGUUCACAUCGACGGGGAGGUUUGGCACCUCGAUGUCGGCUCAUCGCAACCUGGGGCGGAAGUACGUCCCAAGGGUUGGGCUGUUCGCCCAUUAAAGCGGUACGUGAGCUGGGUUCAGAACGUCGUGAGACAGUUCGGUCCAUAUCCGAUGUAGGCGUGAGAAUAUUGAGAGGAGCCUUCCUUAGUACGAGAGGACCGGGAAGGACGCACCGCUGGUGUACCUGUUAUGAUGCCAAUUGUAAACGCAGGGUAGCCAAGUGCGGAGAGGAUAACCGCUGAAAGCAUCUAAGUGGGAAGCCCACCUCAAGAUGAGUAUUCUGGUGUAAGGUCACGGGAAGACGACCCGUAAAUAGGCACGAGGUGGAAGUGCAGAGAUGUAUGAAGCCGAAGUGUACUAAUAGACCGUCGGCUUGA